AAAUAGAUACCCAGGUAGUCCACGCCGUAAACGAUGAGUACUAGCUGUCGGAGGUUACCCCCUUCGGUGGCGCAGCUAACGCAUUAAGUACUCCGCCUGGGAAGUACGCUCGCAAGACUGAAACUCAAAGGAAUUGACGGGGGCCCGCACAAGCGGUGGAGCAUGUGGUUUAAUUCGAAGCAACGCGAAGAACCUUACCAGGUCUUGACAUCCCACUGACCGUUAUGGAGACAUAACUUUCCCUUCGGGGACAGUGGUGACAGGUGGUGCAUGGUUGUCGUCAGCUCGUGUCGUGAGAUGUUGGGUUAAGUCCCGCAACGAGCGCAACCCUUGUUCUUAGUUGCCAUCAUUUAGUUGGGCACUCUAAGGAGACUGCCGGUGACAAACCGGAGGAAGGUGGGGAUGACGUCAAAUCAUCAUGCCCCUUAUGACCUGGGCUACACACGUGCUACAAUGGACGGUACAAACGGUUGCCAACCCGGCGAGGGGAGCUAAUCCGAUAAAACCGUUCUCAGUUCGGAUUGUAGGCUGCAACUCGCCUACA
rnacentral:rRNA from 1 species